rnacentral:lncRNA from 1 species
CUAAGCCCCUUAAGUCGGGUCUCUACUAAUAAAAUGAAGCUGAUGUGGCAAUUGAUGAGUAAAUCAAUGAAUAUCCUGAAUGAUCAUGCACAUAUGAGAAUCGGAACAUGUAUAGUGAAGUAUCAGAAUGAGAGUGUAUGCGUACCUGGGCCACGAGCCACAAUGCGCUAUCAAGAAAUGAGAUUAGUACACAAUUAACGAAUACAAAUUAUAGCUCAUGCAUAUCGAAGUGCAAAAUGAAGAUCAAGCAAAAUAUAUUAAGCACAACAGUUGACAAUCAAUAGGGAUCAAACAUAGGGCCCCCCACCAAAGCCCAAUUUAUUAUUCACGAACUAGUCUCACAAAUUCCGUGUUUUAGAAUUAUGAAGAAAUUAUUAUUGCUUAUGUAAACUCAAGAAGAUCAGAAGAUUAUUUAGGAACUGAAAUGAGAUUAAAACUAUUCGAGUGAAAACUGGAUUCUUGGAGUUUAUUUGAAAAUUGGAGUAUUUGGAAUUAAAUUUAAAAGAUUAGAGCUCCAGUAAUUAAAUUGAAAUUUGUUAAAGAAAUGAGAAGCGAACUUUAGGAAAUUGAUCUGCGAGAACAUGGGUUUUGAAAGUUGAAUUUGUAAUAAUAAUAAUAAUAAGGAAUGAACUUUAGGAAAUUGAACUGCGAGAAUAUAGAUUUUUAAUAAUAAUAAUGAUAAUAAUAAUAAUAAUAAUAAUAAUAAUAAUUAUAAUAAUAAGAAAUGAACUUCAGGAAAUUGAAUGACUAGAAUAUGGAUUUUUAAUAAUAAUAAUAAUAAUAAUAAGAAAUGAACUUUAGGAAAUUAAAUUACGAGGAUAUAGAUUUUUAAUAAUAAUAAUGAUAAUAAGAAAUGAACUUUAGGAAAUUAAAUUACGAGGAUAUAGAUUUUUAAUAAUAAUAAUAAUAAUAACAAUAAGGCUUUGAAAUAAUAAUAAUAAUAAUAAUAAUGAUAACAAAAUUUUGAAAGUUGAAUUAAUAGCAAUAAUAAUAACAAUAUUUUAAAAGUUGAAUUAAUAAUAAUAAUAAUAAUAAUAUUUUAAAAGUUGAAUUAACAAAAAAUAAUAAUAAUAAGAUUUUGAAAUAAUAAUAAUAAUAAUAAGAUUUUGAAAUAAUAAUAAUAAUAAUAAGAUUUUGAAAUAAUAAUAAUAAUAAUAAUAAGGUUUUGGAAGUUGCAUUAAUAGCAAUAAUAAGAAUAAUAUUUUAAAAGUUGAGUUAAUAAUAAUAAUAAUAAUAUUUUAAAAGUUGAAUUAAUAAUAAUGAUAAUAAUAAUAUUUUAAAAGUUGAAUUAAUAAUAAUAAUAAUAAUAUUUUAAAAGUUGAAUUAAUAAUAAUAAUGAUAAUAAUUUUUAAAAGUUGAAUUAAUAAUAAUAAUAAUAAUAAUAAUAAUAUUUUAAAAGUUGAAUUAAUAAUAAUAAUAAUAAGAUUUAAAAUAAUAAUAACAAUAGUUAUAAUAAGGUUUUGAAAGGGCUUUGGGUUCCAUCUCUCUCAUAAGCCCAAUCCAUAAGCCCAAGCCCACGUCCAUUCAAUUAAAAAUACCUUGGGCUCCAUCUCCAUCAAGCCCACGUCCAUUCAUUAACAGAAGCCUUGGGCUCCAUCUCCAUCAAGCCCACGUGGCUCCAUCUCCAUCAAGCCCUUGUCCAUUCAUUAAAAGAAGCCUUGGGCUCCAUCUCCAUCAAGCCCAUGUCCAUUCAUUAAAAAAACUAAAAGCUAAGUCCACAAGCCUUCAGCUCCAUCACAAGCCCAGACCAUCAGCAUGGUCCCUCAAGCCUCAGCACAUGCAGAAUAAACAACCCAGAAACCAUUCUCUUGCACUCCAAUGAGACCCGAUAAAACAUCUCCACGAAAACUCAUUCUACACUACAGCCUAUGGUAGCCCAAAAGGAGACGUUCAGCACACAAAAACCUAAGUCUGGAGAGAAAAAUAGGUUGGCGAGCAUGGAGGAUUGCAUGGGUACGAAGGCUAAGGUGGCCAUGCAUGGGGGAAUAUGCACCGAAUAGUGAAAGGAAAGGGGUUUGGUGACGUUUUUAAGAAGAAAUGGCGGUGUGCAUGUGAUUACUACCAAAAAGUGCUAUUUUGUAGACCUAAUUAUAAUGGUUUUAAGCACCUUUGUGUAGUAAUCAUAUUCAUUUAACCCAAUUAAUUCAUUAAGGUCCUUAGUAAUUGGUUUUAACCAUUUUAUGGCAAGUUUACAUGUUUAUAUCAGCUUAUGAAUCGAUUCAAGCAUGCCAAAUGAUGGAGGAGCUGCUUGGACAAGUUAAAGCAAGCUUUUAGCUACACCAAAGCAAGCCAACAAAAGGAGAAAAGCAAAGAGAAGCAAAAAGAAGCAAAGAGGAAAACAGAGGACAGCAGCUGCAGUCUUCUUUGGCACUUUUGGAGAACUUUCCGAAGUCCAUUUUCUACAUGCUAUAUACCAUUUCAAAGCUCUGGAAGUCAAGAAUCCAACGCUUCAAACUGUGUACGAUUUGGAGCUGAAAUGAGGAAGAUAUGGCCUUCGGAAGACAACUGCUCCAGGCUUGUGCGAAAAUUUCGCACAACACCUUCCAAAUUCGCACACCCCCUUGCGUGGUGCGAAUUUUCCCCUGUUUCUGCCGACUCCACACGAGAUCUUUUCUUUUGGAUAUUUUUGUAUAAAUUUCCAUUCUUCUCCUUGUAAUCCACCAAUCAUAAGAUUUCUUAGCUAGGAAGGUUGGAAAAACUUCUCUAUUUAUAUCCCCUUGCAUCCGUUGUAACAAAUAUUGAUAUAUAGAUAUAGAAAUAUAUAAAGUUCUUUUUUUCUCUCUUCUCCGGUUCUUCCCCAUUUCUAUUUUCUUAGUAGCCAAACAUCCUUGGUGGAUGAAAUCCCCAAGGAUGAGAGGCUAAAACCUUUUAAGUUUCUCAAAGUAUGGAUGUUAUGUGAUGGCUUGGAUGCAAUCCCAUGGAAAUUUCUCGCACCCGGAAGGUAAGGUAGUCGUUUUUCAUUAAUGGUUCAUUAAUGCAAAGUUUGGUUUUUAUUUCCUUUUGACAACUUCCAACGGCCAAUACUUGAUAAGCUUUUGGAUUUCUAUCCAUUAGUUAUCUCCUACGAGCUAUUGGAAGGUGAGGUUUUCAAUUCCAAGUUUUGCAUUAAUCCAUUAGAACCAAUUUCAAUGGCCAUUGAAAGGUGAGUUUAUCACCUGGAAUGACUUUGAGUUGCCAAUAUUUGGUAAGCUUUUGGCUUUAGACCAUUAGUUAUCUCUUACGAGCCAUUCAAAGGAAGUCUAAGGUGAAUAACCAUUGAUGAAAUUCACUACCAUCUGUUUUGCCAUUUUAAAGGAUUAAAACUUGAUUUGCUAAAUCCAUACCGGUUCGGGAAGCAAGCAUCACCAUAGUUGCAACCCCAACGCGAGGAGCCUAUCCUGAGAUUUCCAAUUUGCAUAAGAGCCAGAGCAUAGCUAUCCUAUCUUUGAGAAACUUGUUUUUACACCCUUUCAUUUUAGUCUUUAAUGUUAGCUUAGAUUAGUUUAAAUCUUUCUAAAACAUUUACAUCUUCUUUUAAAGCUAACAUCCAUAAGAAAAUCACCUAUUUUCCUAAUUUGAAUAUCACUUGUGUUUGCGAAAACCCUUCCCAGUGAACGAUCCUAGAACCACUAUGCUAUAGUAGCUUGGUUACUUUAGUAAUAGUACUCAAGGUAUAAAUUUUGUUGAUACGCCUUUAAAGCUAAGCUACCAUGAGUCGAAUCAGCAUGGAACGUGGUGUAGAAAGAGAAAGCAUAAUGAAUGAAAGAUGAAAUGGGUUUAUGGGUAUGAAGAGGCAUGCGGGGUAGAGAGAGAAAGAGAGUAUACGAAGAAGGGUAUAAGGGUAGAGAGAGAUAGAACGUGUCUUGGGUGGCCAAGUAUAUGGCACCCUGUUUGCAUGGGAAUGAUGGAAACGGUGAAAAUGAAGGAUUCACAUGUAUGGUGAAAGUGAUGACUGCAUGAAGUGAAUGAAAUGGAAUGGAGAAAAAUGGGCACAAACAGAGGAUAUUCAUGAGCACCAAAGGCUUCAAACCCCUCAAAUAUUAAACCAAUAAACAUCAAAACAAUGCAACCUAACAAACAGAGUAGGAAUCACCAAGAAUGAGAUAUAACAAAUAUGAAGAACGAAAGUACACAGGAAAACCAUAACAACCAUACCUGAAGAUGAUCUUCUCCAGCUAGGUCGGCGAGAAAAAAAAAUCACCCAGCCAUCUUUCCUCCUCUCUCAGCUCCUCCUUUUUGGUCUCUUCCUUUUUUCUGCUCAAAAUCCUUACCCUGUAACUUGCUCUGCCACCCCCCCACUCCACUGUGUGUCCUCGGAGGAUGGUGUCACCAUUCACCUAACCGGCAUGGCUAUUGUCAAAUCCAUAGCCAUGUGUCUUGUGCAGCUGCUGUUUCAAGGAGCCGGUCCCCCCACUCUAUACGCCCUCCUCCGGAUGCUCUCCAAAAGUGGCGGGAAAAGCUCCAAAUGACUAAAACAAAUAUAAUAUAUGUAGAGAAAAAAAAAACAAGACCAAAAGAGGGGGUCUACAAAUAUGCCCCUCUUCGGUAGAGCUCACGAGUGUAAGAGAUAUGAACACUGAAGUGAAAAGAAAGUGUGAAUAGUGAGUGGAAUGAAGUGAACUCUACCGAAGAACAAAGGAGACCCUCAAAAGGACACUAACAAGACAAGAACUCACUCAAACCAACAGAUGAGCAAAAAGGGUUUAACCCUAAGAGAAAAGCAGAUCUCUCAAAAUGCCUUUAAAGCCAAACAAAGGACCUAGGCUCCCUCUAAGAAUGUCUCCAGAAAUGACUCGAAAAACCAUAUCAAGGAUGAGUAACGGUCGAACCACUCUGAAGUAUAGGAAAGAGUGCAUCUAAAGGAGAUUGUCCUACGUGAACCACAUGAAAGCAACAAGUGUAGAGUGCUCAAUAACAUGAUAGAAAUACGUAUCGUGGACUCAAAGGAUCGUGUCAUGAGCAAUGAGGAGGGAAAUCUAGAAGAGCAAUGCUGAAACGAUAAGCACAAGGUAACAAGGUGAGGAGAAUGAGAAUAAGUGCAAGUCCAUGAAGGUGAGACGUGCAAUGCCAGUGAAUAUGAAUGUUAGGAGUUGUGACUCUGAAUGACGAGACUGACUCUAAACACCAAACUGAGAAAAUAAUAGCUCUAGAAGCCAAACCAAAAAAGCUAACUCUAAACACUAAACUAGAAGGAUAAUGGCUCUGGAAACCCAAACCAAAAAAACUAACUCUAACACUAAACUAGAAGGAUAAUGGCUUUGGAAGCCCAAACAAAAAAAAAACUAACUCUAACACUAAACUAGAAGGCCUAUAGGUGAAAACCUGCGGUGGUUAUACAAUAAAAAAAAAAGCCCAUAGAUGCCAAUCUAUGGUGGUGAAAUAACUGAAAUAAAUGCUCAUAGAUGAAAAUCUAUGAUGGUGAAAAACUGAUCAAAGCUCAUAGAUGUCUGAUCUAUGGUGGUGAUAAUCUCGAAAGCCCAAGGAUGGAAAUCCAUGGUGGUGAAAUAACUGAAAUAAAUGCUCAUAGAUGAAAAUCUAUGAUGGCAAAAAACUGAUCAAAGCCCAUAGAUGUCUGAUCUAUGGUGGUGAUAAUCUCGAAAGCCCAAGGAUGGAAAUCCAUGGUGGUGAAAUAACUGAAAUAAAUGCUCAUAGAUGAAAAUCUAUGAUGGUGAAAAACUGAUCAAAGCCCAUAGAUGAAGAUCUAUGGUGGUGAAAAUCUCGAAAGCCCAAGGAUGGAAAUCCAUGGUGGUGAAAUAACUGAAAUAAAUGCUCAUAGAUGAAAAUCUAUGAUGGUGAAAAACUGAAAUAAAGCCCAUAGAUGUCUGAUCUAUGGUGGUGAAAAACUGAUCAAAGCCCAUAGAUGUCUGAUCUAUGGUGGUGAAAAUCUCGAAAGCCCAAGGAUGGAAAUCCAUGGUGGUGAAAUAACUGAAAUAAAUGCUCAUAGAUGAAAAUCUAUGAUGGUGAAAAAUUGAAAUAAAGCCCAUAGAUGUCUGAUCUAUGGUGGUGAAAAACUGAUCAAAGCCCAUAGAUGUCUGAUCUAUGGUGGUGAAAAUCUCGAAAGCCCAAGGAUGGAAAUCCAUGGUGGUGAAAUAACUGAAAUAAAUGCUCAUAGAUGAAAAUCUAUGAUGGUGAAAAACUGAAAUAAAGCCCAUAGAUGCCUGAUCUAUGGUGGUGAAAAACUGAUCAAAGCCCAUAGAUGUCUGAUCUAUGGUGGUGAUAAUCUCGAAAGCCCAAGGAUGGAAAUCCAUGGUGGUGAAAUAACUGAAAUAAAUGCUCAUAGAUGAAAAUCUAUGAUGGUGAAAAACUGAAAUAAAGGGGAAUGCCCCAAACAAACUGAAAAUAGGGGGAUGCCCUAAACAAACUGAAAAUAGGGGGAUGCCCCAAACGAAAUGACAGUAGGGGGAUGCCCUAAACGAAAUGAUAGUGGGGGGAUGCCCCAAAUGUAAAUGGCAGUGGGGGGAUGCCCUAAACGUAAAUGACAGUGGGGGGAUGCCCCAAACGAAAUGACAGUAGGGGGAUGCCCCAAACGUAAAUGACAGUGGGGGGAUGCCCCAAACAAAAAUGACAGUGGGGGAAUGCCCCAAACGUAAAUGACAGUGGGGGGAUGCCCCAAACGAAAUGACAGUGGGGGGAUGCCCCAAACGUAAAUGACAGUGGGGGAAUGCCCCAAACGUAAUGACAGUGGGGGGAUGCCCCAAACGUAAAUGACAGUGGGGGGAUGCCCCAAACGUAAAUGACAGUGGGGGGAUGCCCCAAACGUAAAUGACAGUGGGGGGAUGCCCCAAACGUAAAUGACAGUGGGGGGAUGCCCCAAACGAAAAUGACAGUGGGGGGAUGCCCCAAACGAAAUGACAAUAGGGGAAUGCCCUAAACAAGACGACAAUAGGGGGAUGCCCUAAACAAACUGACGGUAAGGGGAAUGCCCUAGGUGAUAACUCGUAAAGAUCGACAAAAUGGGUCUGACAAUCAUGAAAUCAACACGAGACACGGUAAACCCAAAGAGAGGGGGUAUGCCCCAGUUGAAAAGCGCUAAAGGGGGUAUGCCCCAGUAUGACGACUCGCAAAGAUCAAGAAAUGGAUUGAGUAGUGAGAAAGAUCUGCAAAACAUCCGAUGAACUCAAAUAUGGGGGUAUGCCCCAGUGUGGCGUGCCGCUGCAAAUCUCAAUCUGUUGGAAAUGGCUGAAAGAGACUCUACGAGUCUCGAACGACGCUCCGCUGAGAGCUCAUAUCGAUGAAAAGCUUAGGAAUAAUGGUCAGUGAGGCGAAUACAAUAUAUCUCGGCCGAGUGAUGGAAACUGUAACGGAUAUGUGAGAGAGCGAUAGCCUCCAUGGCUAAAUGAGGGAAAUAUGCCCCAAUAUGGCGUCAGAUGUACCCGAUCUGUCCUGAUAACCCGAGAAUAACACCGUGAGGGGCGUAACAGAUCUGAUAUGUACCCCACUGAAAUGAUGACACAGGAACCCCAGGCACCUAAAGUAAUUCCAUCCAGGAAUCACGACUAUAUCAAAGAGUACGAAUCUGGCUGAAUGACUCAAGAGAGGCUCCUCGGAGUAUCCGGACAAAAUGAAGUCAAACAUCGACCUGGCGUGUAUCCCAUAACCGUGGAUGAUCAUGUAAACCAGUGGGGAUCUAUAAAUCUCGAUCAAGAUGGGGAAUAUGCCCCAGUGUGGCAUCGAGAAUGUAACAUGUCGAAAAAUCAGAUGAGCUCAAAUCAUCUAUGCCUGCAACUGAAUCAAACCCACAUAUCAAAGAGGCGUCCCUCGGAAGGAAGCAUGUCGACAUCUAAGCAUCUGAAAGCAUGGGCCUGUCUAGAUGGCUCUCGAUAGGCUCCACUAAGGAAUCAUCGUGAGGAUAGCGAAUAUAUCGUCAUCUCUGCAUACGUCUCGCAAAUAAGGAUAAGCAUGCAACUCCAUGAAGAUCCGUAAAUCUCAAUCGAAAAGGAAAUAUGCCCUAGUAUGGCAUCAGAUGUAUGAUAGGUCGAAGAUCGGGUGGCAUGAAAUCAUCUAUCAUCGAACACGCGACAUCUGUGGAGAACCAUAAAUCACGUCUAAAACGGAAAAUACGCCCCAGUAUGGCGUCAGGUGUACGACAGGUUAGAAAAAAUAAAUGAUGUGAAAUCACCUAUCGUCGCACAUGUAACCUCUGUGAAAAUCUGUAAAUCUCAUCCGGAACGGAAAUAUGCCCCAGUAUGGGCAUCGGAUGCACGACAGGUCGGAAAUCGGGCGACAUGAAAUCAUCUAUCAUCGAUCAUGCGACAUAAGUGAAGACCCAUAAAUCUCAUCUGAAACGGAAAAUAUGCCCUAGUAUGGCAUCAGGUGUGCGACAGGCCCGAAGAACAACAUGACAUGAAGUCAUCUAUCGUCGAACAUGUAAUACUGGUCAUCCGAAUCCAUAAUUGAAUCAUGCACAUAUAUCCAAGAUGACCUCCCAGAUGGAGAGGCAUGAUGGCAUCCAAGCGUCGAGAAGUGCGGAACUAGCUGGAUGGAUCUCAGGGGCUCCGUAAGGUAACGACCAUGUCCACGUCUCAGUGAGCAUCCAGUAAGUGAUAAUGAUCGUGCAGAUCUGUGAGGAUCCAUAAACCUCCAAAUGAAAUGGGAUAUGCCGCAGUGUGGCACCAAAGGUACGAUAGGUCAAAAAAAUCAGGUGACACCAAGUCAAUCAUCGUCAAACUCACGAUCCCGGUAAUCCGAACACAACUGAAUCAGUCCUACACAUCAAAGGGGCGACUCCCAGAAGAAGAAGCAUGACAAUAUUUAAAUAUUAACCAGAUCUCAAUCACCUGUCCAAGUAGAGGCUGCCGAAGACGACAUCUGAUCCCAUGGCCUCAGGGUGGUCUUAAGACACGGGACGUAACGUAGGCCAAGGUGAUAGGGUGAUAGAAACGAAAGAAAACUAGGCUCAAAUACCUAAUGAUCAAAACUCAUGCCCUCAUAUAUGAAAUGCAACAUGUAUAGUGAACCCCAUGAGCCAUGGACCUGAGGAUGCCUAACGUGAAUAUGAUAUCGAUAAGGAGACAAAUGAAGCAAAAUGAACUGAUAGUGAUAUGUGUAAUGAUGAUGCGAAGUGAGCAUCAAACCUGAGAUGGGUCGCUGUAAGGAGAGAAUAAGACGCGAAGGGAAUGAAAUGAAUCACAAGCAACGAUAAAAACGAUAGCGAAACAAUGAAUAUGUGAAGAAAGGUGGCGAUCGACCCAGAUCAAACAUGAAGUGAAGUCACAUCAAUAAUGAAUGUAAUGAUGGAAAGGACAAUGACUCGGAGUCCUUAGGAGAAGGUCACUCAUCUCUCUCACAAAUAGAUAUGACGAAGCAAUACAAAUAACAUGGGAUCUCAGAGAGCUCACAUACGAACUCCCAAUAACGAACAUACUCGAUAAAAAUGACCCCCAGACAUCAAUAUACAUACUCAAUGAUCGAGAACACUAUGCACAUACACACAUGUGCUAAUAAUAAUAAUAAUAAUUUUUUUUUUUACAACAAUUUAUUUAUUUAUUUAUUUAUUUUUACAUAUAUACAAACACGCGUACCCUGAACAUGAACAAAUGAACCCCAAAGAUGAUAUCAAUAACAAAUGGACACAUUCCCAAGUGCUAAGGUAACAAACAAACUCUCUCUAACAAGAUGACCUUCUCAAACUAAGGAUCUCUAAACCAGUGUCCGCGAGAUAGAUGGUGGAAAUGAUGUGACUAUCCUCCAUGUGAUGAACUGAGAGGGAUCACCACUCAAGGUGAAGAGAAAUAUGAAACGAACAAGUUAAUAGAUAGGAUAAGGAAGAAGAGACAAGGAACACAACCAACAAGAUGAGAUGAAAAUGUAGAGGUGCAGUGAUAGGAAAAGAUAAUGAGAAAAACAUGCCCCUAGGUCCAAGGCUCAUAAAACUACCAAACAAUGCAUGCAUACAUUAAAGGGCCCCUAUCCCAACGUGAAAAUGUGAGCAAGGCGAUAAGAAAGAAAGGCUAUAAUGCGCAUGUGAGGCUCAAUGGGCUAGCAACGGACUAUGCAUCAAAAGAGAAUAACAAGGUAAUGGCUAACCGAAAUGAUGGCCACCCAUCCUGCGACCAUAGUCUCAAACAUAGUACCUCUUUAGCUGAUCCACAUUGGUUGGCUCUGAGAAUCGGUUUCCAUCUAAAUCCAUCAACCAUGCAGUGCCCUCUAAGGUCAACUCCCUGAUGAAAUAAGUUCCGCUCCAGUUGGGUCUGAACUUCCCUCUAGGAUCUCUAAUCAAUCCUCUGAUGAACCUCAAGACUAAGUCACCUCUCUAUAAUGGUCAAUCAACAAUCUCUGCUAUCUUCCCCUACCAGCAGGAGAUGAAGGAAGAAAUGGACUCAUCUGAUCUCUGUCUGAAACCCUCAAGCUCUCUCCUCGACACAUCUACGACAGUACUAAAUGAAAAUUUUCAUAGAAACUCCUAAGCUAGGUCAUCCCAUGUCCUGUGUCACGAGGACUCCAAAGAUGCGAACUAAUACUAGGCUGCGCCACUUAGAGAUAAAAGAAACAUGAUGAUCAUCUGUGACUCGUCUAACCCAUGGACCCUCAUCACAGUACUGUAGAGUCGAAGAUGAAUACAUGGACAACCAACGCCCAUGUACAUCUCAAUGUCAGGCAUCCUGAACUUGGCUGGUAGACUGGCUACUAGUAUACUAUCAAGAUCAUCCCAAGCCAAUGAACUGUCAGAUACUCUCAACUGCCAGAUAUGCUACUCAAUACGAUCCAUACAUGAAUGAGUAUCCUCAAGGACUGUCUACUCUGCUGACUGUCUAUCUCCUGCCUGAGACUAGCCAAGGCCUCCUGGAUAGAAGCCAUGGUGGCUGUAAACUGAUCAACCGUGACAACCCGCUGAUUCAUGUCUGAUCUCUCGGAAAAGCGAACUAAUAUCCCCUCUACUCUAACCCAAGAUGACAAAUCCACACUGAGAAUGAAAAACCAAUCCUGAAGAGCAUGAAGCACAAGAUACCUGAAUAGAAUCCAUGGCGUCUAUGAACUAGCCAACUGUGACAACCCGCUGAUCCAUGUCUGAUCUCUCAGAAAAGCGAACUAAUAUCCCCUCUACUCUGACCCAAGAUGACAAAUCCACACUGAGAAUGAAGAACCAAUCCUGAAGAGCAUUGAAGCACAAGAUGCCUGAAUAGAAUCCAUGGCGUCUGUGAACUAGCCAACUGUGACAGUCUGCUGAUCUAUGCUCGACCUCUCGGAAAACCGAACUAAGCUCCUCUCUACUCUGACCCAAGACGACAAAUCCACACUGAGAAUGAAGAACCAAUCCUGAAGAGCAUGAAGCACGAGAUAUGGUAGGCAUAGGGAAAACAUGGAAGAAAUGCUAGUCUGAAUUGGAAUGGGCAGGGCAUAAAAAACAAAAACGGACCGUCUGACCGUACCCAAACUCGUACUGAUCUCGGUGCACUCUCACUAGAAACUAAAAGAGGGAGUGUCGGGUCCAAACUGUGACCACAGAGGCUUUGAAGGCCCUCAGAUGCACCCACGUGUAAGGAAGGAAGUCCUAAUCGAAGGAUCUACGGCUCAACCUACAAGGUCAAGGUGGCUCUAAGAGGAUAAGGGUGGACUUUAAAAUAUCCCUAGCAGAAGUGAUCAUACCCUCCAGCGGUACGCAACCCUCUACACGCCUCAAAAGAGACGGGGCGCUUCCAUGCAAGGUGGUCAUCACCUCCACACAUGCACUACCUCGACAUCCCAGGGGGUUUCCUAUGGUGAAACCUCUUAAACUCUCAACGCUCAAUAGUCAACUAGAGUGUGCAGUGAAUGGUGUGGGUGCAUCCGAAACCCUAAACAGCUAAAGCAGAAAGGAAACACACCGACCGCACAAAUAUCCAUGAAACCUAGCUCGGGGAUAUACAAGUCUUCAAUGAUCGGACUCCAAUCGACAACAAUGUGCCGCUCUCUUCCAGAAUGCUCCCAAAUAUCGGUACAACCCGUCACUAGACCCUACUCCUAACCUCUAUCUCGGUCAGGGUACAAGCACACACAAGGCCUCACACUUGCAAAAGUGAGAACCGAAAGAAAAUAAAUGACCGAGACUAGAGGGUGAGAGAUAAGAGGAUAGAUGUGCGACCCACACAGAAAAGCGGCACGCAAUCACGCAAGAGGAGGGUAGUCAUGCGACAUGCAAUCAGGCAGUGCUCGGAUAUAUCAUCAUGUACACACAAGAUAAGCGAGAAUACGGCAGACAAGACGAAUAGUGAUACAGACAUCAUGCUCAAAGACAAUCAAAAUAAUAUACAAGUCAGAGAAUCAACAUGUCAAGCCGAGUGAUAUACAGUGGUGAGUGUAUGCAUGUGGAGUGAUCAGAACAAGCAUGGCAAAAUCAGAAUCAAUGUGCUAAUCGAUGCAAUAAGAUCAAUCAUCAAUAAUCCAGCAUGUCAAUGUCUCAAACGAAUAUAUCAAUGAAACACAGAAGAAAUCAUGGCAUCGGAAUCCUCAAUCAAGAUAAAUCAAUCAACACAAUCGACAUGUCAAAGUCUCAAGUGGAUAUAAAAUCCGAGCAUGCAUCAAAUAUCCUCAAUGUGCAAUCAAGAAAUGGGCAUCCACUGAUCGUCCAAUCGAAUGCCACGUUGGCUUCACUCUAAGUUCAAGCUUGACCCUCUAAAUGAUCCCCAAUGGAGUCGCCAUUUUGUGGACCCUGCAUUUCGGCUCAACGCGUUUCCCAUUCGAUGGUGAGCUCGAUUUUUGUUUUCGAAAAAAUGAUCUUUAUUGAUUAAAAAAAUGACUUGGAGUCGCCACUUAUUUUUGUUUUAUUUUUAAAAGGGUAAACAAAAUAAGAAAGAAAACCCUAAGUGUGACUCCUGGUUUUGGAAAAGGUGAUCUACGAAAAAACCGGAUCGGGUUUGGGGGUCAGGUUACUCAUCGGGAAGGUACGGUAAAGACCGUAGCACCCCUCUAAGCCCCUAAAGUCGGGUCUCUACUAAUAAAAUGAAGCUGAUGUGGCAAUUGAUGAGUAAAUCAAUGAAUAUCCUGAAUGAUCAUGCACAUAUGAGAAUCGGAACAUGUAUAGUGAAGUAUCAAAAUGAGAGUGUAUGCGUACCUGGGCCACGAGCCACAAUGCGCUAUCAAGAAAUGAGAUUAGUACACAAUUAACGAAUACAAAUUAUAGCUCAUGCAUAUCGGAGUGCAAAAUGAAGAUCAAGCAAAAUAUAUUAAGCACAAUAGUUGACAAUCAAUAGGGAUCAAACAUAGGGCCC